rnacentral:rRNA from 1 species
CCAAUAGCGUAUAUUAAAGUUGUUGCAGUUAAAAAGCUCGUAGUUGAAUUUCGGGGUUAGUAGGUUGGUCAUGCCUCUGGUAUGUACUGGUCUCACUGAUUCCUCCUUCCUUAUGAACCGUAAUGCCAUUAAUUUGGUGUUGCGGGGAAUUUGGACUGUUACUUUGAAAAAAUUAGAGUGUUUAAAGCAAGCUAACGCUUGAAUACAUUAGCAUGGAAUAAUGAAAUAGGACGUUCGAUCUUAUUUUGUUGGUUUCUAGGAUUGACGUAAUGAUUAAUAGG